AGAGUUUGAUCCUGGCUCAGGACGAACGCUGGCGGCGUGCCUAACACAUGCAAGUCGAGCGAUGAAAUCCUUCGGGAUGGAUUAGCGGCGGACGGGUGAGUAACACGUGGGUAACCUGCCUCAAAGAGGGGAAUAGCCUUCCGAAAGGAAGAUUAAUACCGCAUAAUAUGUUUUGGUCGCAUGACUAGAACAUCAAAGGAGCAAUCCGCUUUGAGAUGGACCCGCGGCGCAUUAGCUAGUUGGUGAGGUAACGGCUCACCAAGGCGACGAUGCGUAGCCGACCUGAGAGGGUGAUCGGCCACAUUGGAACUGAGACACGGUCCAGACUCCUACGGGAGGCAGCAGUGGGGAAUAUUGCGCAAUGGGGGAAACCCUGACGCAGCAACGCCGCGUGAAUGAUGAAGGCCUUCGGGUUGUAAAGUUCUGUCUUCUGGGACGAUAACGACGGACCAGAGAGA
rnacentral:rRNA from 1 species